CACUGAGUCAGCUAAAUAGGCAAAUAUGAAAAAUUGGUUAUCUAUGAUAAUUUAAUAAUGAUUCUAAUUUUAAGAAGUUUUGUUGAAGAUCUAUAAGUGCAAAUAAUUCAAACAAAUAAACAAGACAUGGUACUUUUAUUACAUAAAGUGACCAAUACAUUUCUAUCUGUUGCAAACUUUGAAGAAAAAAUAUGGCUGAAAUUUUUAAGUUUGUUUAUUUAAUAUUUCUCUUUAUUUCCUUAUUUUUUGUCGACGUUACUGCAACAAGAUUAUUGAGAAGUUGCAAGAGGGAUAUUGAUUGUUUCCUGUGGUAUUGUAUACCUCCUUUUGCUCCAAAAUGCAUUUCUUCUAAAUGUAAGUGUGGAAUUAAAAGUAAACUCGAUCCAUUCUAAGAGAUUUAUAUUGUAAUCUCAAAUUAAGGGAGGGAAUUAAAAUUUUAUUUGAGAUAGGCAUUAGAGCUCCUAUGAUUAAUUAAUAAUAGAAAUUAUUCUCUUCAGUUGAUGUACUCUACAAUGUGGAAAAUAAUUUAUUCAAAAAAAGAAUAAUAUUGAAAAGAAAGAGUAGCUGAAAUUAUUCUCUUUAGGUGAUAUUUUAUUUAGACACAAGAAAAUUCAAGUUGAAA